rnacentral:rRNA from 1 species
UAGGGAAUCUUCCACAAUGGACGCAAGUCUGAUGGAGCAACGCCGCGUGAGUGAAGAAGGUUUUCGGACCGUAAAGCUCUGUUGUUGGUGAAGAAGGAUAGAGGUAGUAACUGGCCUUUAUUUGACGGUAAUCAACCAGAAAGUCACGGCUAACUACGUGCCAGCAGCCGCGGUAAUACGUAGGUGGCAAGCGUUGUCCGGAUUUAUUGGGCGUAAAAGCGAGCGCAGGCGGAAGAAUAAAGUCUGAUGUGAAAGCCCUCGGC